rnacentral:rRNA from 1 species
GACGUAGGGUCCGAGCGUUGUCCGGAGUUACUGGGCGUAAAGGGCGCGUAGGCGGUUUUUUGCGUCACACGUGAAAGCCCCUGGCUCAACCAGGGAGGGUCGUGUGAAACGGGGAAACUGGAGGCAGCGAGAGGCUGGUGGAAUUCCCGGAGUAGUGGUGAAAUGCGUAGAUGUCGGGAGGAACACCGGUGGCGAAGGCGGCCAGCUGGCGCUGACCUGACGCUGAGGCGCGAAGGCAUGGGGAGCGAACGGG